CCUACGGGUGGCAGCAGUGGGGAAUAUUGGACAAUGGGGGGAACCCUGAUCCAGCCAAGUCGCGUGAAGGAUGACGGCCCUACGGGUUGUAAACUUCUUUUGUCAGGGAGCAAUUGAGUCCACGUGUGGUCUUAGCGAGAGUACCUGAAGAAAAAGCAUCGGCUAACUCCGUGCCAGCAGCCGCGGUAAUACGGAGGAUGCGAGCGUUAUCCGGAUUUAUUGGGUUUAAAGGGUGCGUAGGCGGAAUAUCAAGUCAGCGGUAAAAAUUCGGGGCUCAACCCCGUCGUGUCGUUGAAACUGAUGUUCUUGAGUGGGCGAGAAGUAUGCGGAAUGCGUGGUGUAGCGGUGAAAUGCAUAGAUAUCACGCAGAACUCCGAUUGCGAAGGCAGCAUACCGGCGCCCAACUGACGCUGAAGCACGAAAGCGUGGGUAUCGAACAGGAUUAGAUACCCGUGUAGUC
rnacentral:rRNA from 1 species